UUAGGACCCCGCGGGUUUCUAUCCUGCACACCCAGGCAGCUCGAGCUAGCGACCAUCGGAAUGAAAAUGCAUUCGUCUUUAUUCAGCAUUGCUCUGAUUUCUUUUAUACUGGUUUUUAUUGCGUCACAUUUCGGAGAGGUGUUAGCUGAUGACAAAGGACGAGGAUUUGGGGACCAUAUUGACUGGCGGAGCCUUGAGGAUGGGAUGAAGGAGGCUGAAGCGAGUGGUCUCCCUCUGAUGGUCAUCAUUCACAAGACGUGGUGUGGAGCCUGUAAAGCAUUAAAGCCCAAGUUUGCUGAAUCAAAGGACAUCUCUGAGUUGGCUCACAACUUUGUCAUGGUUAACUUGGAGGAUGAAGAGGAGCCAAAAGAUGAGGCCUUUAGCCCAGAUGGCGGUUACAUUCCAAGAAUACUUUUUCUUGAUCCCACUGGUAAAGUCCACUCUGAGAUCACAAACAAGAAUGGGAACCCCAACUACAAAUAUUUCUACAGCAAUGCAGAUCAAGUUGUGGCUAGCAUGAAGGAAGCUCAAGAGAAGCUGACUGGUGAUGCCUUCAGGACCGCCCACAUUGGGGAUGAACUCUAAGAAGGGCAAAAGAUCUCAGCCAGUACACUGUAUUACCUUGCUGGGCACAUUAGAUCCAUCCAUCCAUCACCAACCUCAACUCCUGUCAUUUAAUUUGAUCUGCUAUAGCACAAGACAAGCUUCAAAAAUGAAGGAAUAUAAAAUGCAUUUACGGAUUACAUUUCAAGAAGUUCAAAGCUGACGUGUCCAUAUUCAUAUUCAGGUUGAAAACAUUCGACCCUCUUGACUGCAUUCUUAAGGCACUCCAUGUUUUUUCUGACUAAGAAACACGCCAGUAAGGCAUUUCUCAUGUGCUUCCAAGCCA